rnacentral:rRNA from 1 species
AUUGAACGCUGGCGGCAGGCUUAACACAUGCAAGUCGAACGAGUGUCGGACGGGUUAGUCAUGCUUGGGAAUCUAGCUUAUGGAGGGUGAUCACUACGGGCAACUGUAUCUAAUACCGCGUACCAUAGGAUGAGCCCCAGUGGGAUUAGGUAGUUGGUGAGGUAAAGGCUCACCAAGCCGACGUUCCCUAGCUGGUCUGAGAGGAUGACCAGCCACACUGGGACGGAGAAACGGCCCAGACUCCUACGGGAGGCAGCAGUGGGGAAUAUUGCGCAAUGGGGGCAACCUGACGCAGCCAUGCCGCGUGAAUGAAGAAGGCCUUCGGGUUGUAAAGUUCUUUCGGUAGCGAGGCGUUAACUACAGAAGAAGCAACGGCUAACUCCGUGCCAGCAGCCGCGGUAAUAC